AAGUUUUUGACCUGGCUCAGAGCGAACGCUGGCGGCAGGCUUAACACAUGCAAGUCGAACGGGCGUAGCAAUACGUCAGUGGCAGACGGGUGAGUAACGCGUGGGAACGUACCUUUUGGUUCGGAACAACACAGGGAAACUUGUGCUAAUACCGGAUAAGCCCUUACGGGGAAAGAUUUAUCGCCGAAAGAUCGGCCCGCGUCUGAUUAGCUAGUUGGUGAGGUAAUGGCUCACCAAGGCGACGAUCAGUAGCUGGUCUGAGAGGAUGAUCANGCCACAUUGGGACUGAGACACGGCCCAAACUCCUACGGGAGGCAGCAGUGGGGAAUAUUGGACAAUGGGGGCAACCCUGAUCCAGCCAUGCCGCGUGAGUGAUGAAGGCCCUAGGGUUGUAAAGCUCUUUUGUGCGGGAAGAUAAUGACGGUACCGCAAGAAUAAGCCCCGGCUAAUUC
rnacentral:rRNA from 1 species